GUGCGCUCCUGCCUGCGCCGCCAUUUUUACACAGGGAAAAGAGACUGGUUUGAGGGGAUCUAAUUUCUAAAAGUCGCUGUUCAUUAGAGCAUAAUUCUAACGGUUUUGGUUUUAUUGACAGUAUAAUUGGAGUGCCUACAAAGAUUUGGAAGUAGCGCGUUUUGAAGGAAGCAUACUAAUCGCAGGAUAAGUUUUGGAGACACAUUUUGAGACUUUGCUAGUGAUCCGCAGUGUGUGGACAGAAGUAUUGUUUUGGUUGUGAGAGCUCUGAAGAGCGGCGGGGGUCUCACCCAGAUCCUCUCUUCGUUGUUUGGGUCUUCGAGAGUGGACAUUAAACGGCUAAUCUAUGCAAUUUGGACUACAACCUGGUCUCUGGUGAUCCACUUGUGUGCUGUCUGGACCCGAGAGACGCUUAAGACAAAGCUGGCUAGCGUUUGAGCACAACACAGUCACAUGGUAUUCCAGCUGGGAGAAGAAGCCAGGGCUCAGCAUAUGAGGAUGAAAAGAUGCCUGUGGGCUUUCACUGACCAGACAUUGCUCAGACAACAGGAGGGCAGCCCCAGCUUUGUUACCAGACCCGUCACACAGAGGGAGUUGGCAUGUUUCUUGAUUUCUGGAAAAUGGCCUUGUGGAUGCAC